CCCCGACCGACAACAGGUUUCCAACGAAUACACCGCAGUCGUACCGUCCAGACGAUUUUCGUCAUUUCGUGCCCGUCACUCACGACUCGCUCACUCACUCACUCGGCACUCACCAUUUCAACUUCGACUCUUGUCCGUAUUUGACCGGCUGAAAUAUAAUUCACACAUGGCCUCCGGAUGCGUCUCCGCAAACGACAAGUGAGAACGAAUUGGUUUUAUUCAUUUUUAACGAUUUAUUAUUUAUUAUAAUUUUUGAUUAUCCUAUAAUUUAAUAUGUUUUCGAUUUGUGUUGUUGCGCCGCGUGCGGAACCUCGUGAUAUUUUUUUGGCAGAAGCCGGAAAUUUUGUGUUUUUUUUUUUUUUUAUAUUAACUUUGGACUUUCGAAGCGGAUGCACUAUUUUUUGAAAAUGGUCUCUCUUUGUUAUUUUUACUUGCGUAAUUUUUAUUAUAUUGUAGUAUUAUAUAUUAUUAAAUACACGUAAAAUGCAAUAGAUUGCAAGAUCUUAACAAUUUUUUUGAAAAUUUAAAUUCCUAACAAAUAAUUGAUAAAAUAUUCAAAUUUAAAACGAAAUAGUACUUGCAUGUUGUACUAAAUUUUUAUAAAAUUGCGGUUUUACACAAAUGAAUUGGGCAAAAGGUACACGAAUAGCGCGUCCUGUUUUGCGACGACGUGAUGACAAGUUUGUGUAGACUUGUCGGCUUACAGUGAUCUGAAACGCGAUUAAAAACUUAAUAAAUAAUAUUUUCUAGGAAUACCUACGACUGCCAAUAAAAUGGCUAGAAAUAUAUACAAAAAUAUUGUAAAAUUGUAUUUUCUACAAGCGCGCGCGCCCACUCGAAGGUUUAAUCGAUUUUCGACGCUGCACCAUUGCGGCCAAUGAACAGUCUCGGAUCAUCCCUUGGAUGAAUUCUAAAACGGCCAGAACUACGGGUUGUGCAGAAACACAACCCGUGUAUCGAUUUGUAGUUAAAAAUAACGUAAUUCGAUGCGAUCCCCAACCCGAAAAAAAAAACCGUUAUUUGUCAUCGCCGUUUGAAAAUCCUGAAUAUAAUAUUAUACAUGGGCGCGUUUCGUUCCUUAAAAGCACAUGGUACGGAUUCGUGACCAGACCUAGCAUUACACGGUAACCUUCAGAAAAAAACGCAAAGUGCAUUGAAAUCCUAACCCUAUUGAUAACCAUUAUCGCUGUUAACUAUUGUGAAGUGUUUCCCGAAGUUGAUAUUUUAUUUUACCCUGUACACUUGAAUUAUGGCACCUAUUUUUCCACUGUUUUUAUUAUUAUUAGAUUUAUCCACAACUAUUCCUGUAUGAAUUAUACUUGUGAUUUUAACUUUUUUGUGACGGAUUUUUGUUUCAGCUCCAAGAAGAAUACAGAAACAAAAUAUAUGUGACCCCUCGGUUGCGGAAAACGUUUUAUUGAUCUUGAGUUUUAUACGCGUCAACUAAAGCCUUUAAUUAUUGCAGUCUAAUCGUCUACUUAAUCGCCUACUUUAAAAUAUAAACAAUCAAACAAUAAUUCCUCUUUCUAUUAGCCUAUAAAAAUAUAUUAUUUGAAUGCCUAGUUUUUAUAUAUAAAUAAAUAUAUAUGUGUGCGAUUUUGUUGAAUAAGGGACUUAUUCACCAGCAUUGCACAAAGACAAAUCACUACUCAAAAACUAGGCAUUCAAAUUAAUAAUAAAUGUUUUGAUAAUAUAAAGAGGAAACUUUGUUCGAAAGUUUUUCAUUUUCCUGUAGGCGAUUACGUAGGCUUUGAGACUGCACUUUGCUGGUAAAUUGCUAAAGGUUACUCCAACUGCAGAUAAUCCAAAUACGAUGUCUAGUAUUAAGGAAAAUAAUGGGCCCAUUUAUGUUUUCAAAUUUGCAGAGUAUGUGUUUUAAUUUCUCUAAUUAUACACAUAAUAUUCAUUGUUCUAAUCAAUUAUUAUUCAAUGUUUUUAGAUGUCUCAACAAACAACCUAUUGCAGAGUUGAAGUGAACAAGAUAGGAUCAUGUGUUGAAAUUCGCUUUUCAAAUCUGAUGUUUACCCUAUGGAAUACCUUGGUAUUUGAUAUUGGAGUUCCUGAACUAUAAUUUUGUAUACUCAUCAAACACAAUGGCAGUACAUCAGUUUGAUUCAAAUAACUAUACCACUGGCUUUUGGUAUAAUAACCUGAUCAAACUGACAAUAACUUCUAAGGGAUGUGGCUGGCGAUGUAUUUAUUGUAAAAGAAAGUAUAUACUAUAAAACUUUGUGAUUGAACUAUCCAAACAUGUUAAAAUAAAACCAAAACUACACUUGUAAAAUUAUUUUUAUGCCUCAUAAUGAAUUUGUAUUGUUUUAUGUGCUAUUGAAAAUCUUGAAUUUAAAUUAUUAUAAGUAUUAUUAUUUAAAAAUAUAUUUUUUACAUUUUAUUUUUGCUCAAUAUUUUAAUUUCCUAAAAUUUUUAUAAAAUAUUGGUCAUCAAUACUAUCUCUUGACUCGUGUGUGUGUGAUUGAUUAAAUGAUUUAUACAGUAUUGUUUGGGUUAGCUUAUGUAGUCGAGGUAACUCGGAAAUCGCCAGAAAUGGACUAUAUUCACACUUCCAGUUGUGGUGUUAAUGUAAAGUAACAUCACUGACUUGUUUUCAUUGCUGGAAUAGUGGCACUGAACUUUCGAUUAUUGAAUUAUUAUCGAAGGAUCAUCAAACUUAAAAUAUCAAUUAUUAUUUUAAUUUUAACGUGUGAUAGAUUAGUUCGCAAUAUUUAUCCGUUAUUCGUUAUAUAAUUACUCAUAAACUUGUUCAUUUUGAAUGACCUAAUCAAAUUUAUUUUACAGUUCUUGGUUAUAUUUUUCUUGUAGUAUAAUUAUAUCGCAUGUCGGGUUUAAUAUCUCGGAAUAAUAUAAGAUUUGAGGAAAGUGUAGAUGAAAUAUUUUUAAAUUUUAGUUUUUGUUGUAAAUUUUACUUUUUUACCACUUUAAAUAUAAAACUGCAGGAAAAUCAAAAAUCGAAUUUCAGUAGUCAUGCCACAAUUGACAUUUUUCAUAGAAAAUAUGCUAAGUACUCUUCAAAAAAAAACCAGAUUUCUACACAGAUGAAGAAACACUAGAUAGCCGACGACCAUUUACUUGGUAUUGAAAGUAUCUGGCAGCCAUUUGUCAAGACUGCAAUGUUUACGUCAUGUAAAAUUGAUAAUGAAAUAUAAAUUGGAACCAUUUGAUUUUAUAGGUUUAUAAUAUACUGGAAUACUGUUCUUGUAUUGUACAUUUUUUUAAAAUUAAGGUGAUGUUUGAUCGGUAGUUCAUCAAGUAUUGUUUUCUCAGUGAAGUGUUUAUUUACUUUUUAGUUAAACAUUUUAGUUUAAUUGAAAUAUAUAUAAACAGUAAACACUUGAUACAAAUUAAAAAAUACCAAUACAUAUUACAACAUAUUAUGUAUAAAUACAGUAUCAAUAAAUUACUAAAUUUAUCAAGUUUAUUGACUUUCAAUAUGGUUCUUUUACAUUAAUACAUUUUGAAUGUAUUCAGUAUCCAUGUUGCGAGAGUGUUGUACCCGGACCAGCCAUUGGAAAUAUGUUUUAGACCAGAACUUCAUAUCAAACAUAAUAUUUUUUUACUAUUGAAAAUUCUGUAUUUGGACAUUUAGUGUCUGUGCUCUGUAUUGUGUAUUAUUGUUUACUGAACAGUUACCAGCAUUCAUCAAAAUGAUAAUUUAUCAUUGUCUGUCAUCGGUUAGUAUUUCUAAACAUUGCCCAAUCUGCAUAUUGUGGCCAGGCUUCCAUGAUUGAAAGGAGUCUGCUAUGUAGUUUAAUUUAUAUAUCUGAACCAGACCAACUUUUCUGAUGGUAGUCCGCUAUCAAGUUCUGUUGCGAAAUUUAUACAUAGAUAUAAAACUAAAAUGAGCGCAUUCAGUAUAAUCAAAAAUAUAACUAGUAAAAAUUAAUUUUUACUGUGCGUUUAAAGAAAUACUUUCAAACUUGUAAGUACAUAUCUUACUACGUAUUUGACCAUUUUUCAGUAUACGAGUGCAUGUUGUUUAUUGACGCGUGAACUUUCCAGCGCUGGUAAUAACUUAAUAGACAAACGCAACAUUAAAAUUUGGGUAUCGGGAGGAGCAGUAGAACGGUAUAAUAUAGGUAUACAUUUGUUAAAAUAUUUAUUUAACUACUCGUACUUUGAUGGCUGCGGGGGGAGGGGGAGGGUGGACUCUCAAAAUUUCACAAAGACCUUCAAAAUGCCUCUGAAUGGUUUAAUGCUUUUUAGAUGUGGUGUGGGAACAAUGACGCCCAAAAAUGCGAUAUGUAAACAAAUUCUAAGACCUUUCACAGAUAAUCCGUGUUGCAUAAAAAAACAUUCCUUGGCGAAGCAUUUUGUUCCAGGCGUUUGAUCAAUAAUUGAACGUUCAAAAGAAAUGUUCACGAAUACCACGACAAAAUACUUGGGUAUGCUAUCAACUUCGUAGUCGGAUACGCAUAAUUUGGGCUAUCCCCUACACAAAUGCGACGUCGUCCGUUCUCCGCUUUUGAAUUAUUUACCAAGAUUUAGGGCUCCCACGCACUGCAGCGGUACGCGGUCCAGUAUUUCGGUACCGGUACGGUAAACAGUAUUUUGUUUGUGCGGUACGUUAUUCCGCCAUAGCAUGAACGCUGAUUCGGUAUUCGUUGUCGGAUACCGGACGGUAAAACGUCGUACCGGAACGUUUUUCGGUACAACCACACACAUCACCACGACGUCUGAACGCGACUAAAUGUAAAAUAAAAGAUUGACGGUUCGAUUCGAAAAUUGGCGGGAAAUAAUGUUCGCAGGUCAUUCGUAUCGAGUGAAUAAUCGCCUGGUGUGAAACCGAAAUGAAAUUGGCGAUUAAAAACCGCUGCGAUUUUAUUCGAUUCGCGUGAAACGACUGAUAAACAACAGAAGUAAUUUUGUACUUGUUUACCUACGAGUCGAUUAUGUUCUGGGGUUCCAGAACGGACCGUGUUUUACGGUCUUUUAGGUGCUUACGGUAUUAUCAGCGGAUAUGUAAAAAUAUUGAUCACGAGCGCCGGUUACACGCGCCAAAUUCUGCAGACAUGGUCUGAACGGUAUAAAUAUAAAUAUUCCUAUUCGAAAAUCGUUUAAAAAGUACAAAAUCGGCGUCUAGUCGUUUUUCGAUUGGAAUAAUAUUUCCUGUAAUAAACGUUGUGUAAACGAAAUAAAAACAACGAAAACGGCGGUAACGUCGCGGUUCGCCGUACCAAUUAAUUUUAUUUCGGAUUUUUCCCAAUUAUUUCGAAAACCUCUUGGAAAUCCAAAAAGUCACCACUCAAAUGCACAAAGUAGAGAAAAUAACCUUUCAGAAAAAUUGCUAUAGUCUAUACUUCAGAGCAAGUUUGCUGGUAGGAAAUUUGUUCACAGACGGGAAAAUACAUACAACGUCACACGUAGGAUCAAUCAAUAGAUCUUGCUAGAGAUGUUGCUAAUCUAAAAGUAUAUAAUAUUAUGUCUACGAGUUCGUUUACAAUAUUUUCUCGCGGACAAACGGUGAGCGAAAUCUUUUUCCGCCGGUCGCCCCCCCUCCCCCCAACGGUCAGCGGACGUUACUGCGUGUCCGUUUGUACACAGAAAAACUCCGAAAAUCACACGCUUUUUUUCUUUCGCGGGACAAUACUAUGGUAUUUCAUAGUAGAACGUAAACAGCCUUCGAAUACCGUUUAAUUCUCUUUGAGUUUAGCAUUUUGGGUUCAAAAUGGAAUUGUAACCUAAACGCCAAACGAGCCGCAACAAUAAUCGGAACAGAAUAUUAUCAAUAUUAAUAUCGUGCACCGUGAUAAUUUCGCCGACCGGCGACCGGUACGACAACCGUCGUACGGACCGUAGACACAACAACAAUACCCGUGGGGGUCUUUCCCUUCCUUUUGUGAUAAAUUAAAAAUAAUAUGUUAUUGUCCUACGGAUUUCCCCGAGAAAAAAUAAUCAUUGCCAACGAUUCGGUUGCGACCGCGCGACGAGACGAAAAAUGAAAUAAUACCGUGGGACGUUGCACCGCGCGCUCCCGCCGCUUGCGAGUUACCGACGACGGUCGGACGGCCCCGGUCGUACUGCCGAUUGCCGGAGCGUUUUACCUUUUCCGCGGUCCCUCAUUUCAACUUGGACGCCCGACGUUGAACGUCGUGUUUUUCUCCUUCGGGUGUCCGCCGUCGAGUGGAAUCGACUGGCCGAAAAAGAAUUCCACGCGGCCUCUGGACGCGUUUCCGCAACUGACAAGUGAGAACGAAUUGAAUUAGUUUGAUAUUAAUUUUAAAUUUUCAUAUAUUUUAACGCGUGUACUUUUUUCGUCUUUUGCUGUUUCGCCCGUGCGGGACCUCUGGGUAUUUUGUCGGCGGCGGUAGUAAACCUCGUGUUUUGUUUUUUUCUUGAAUUCUCGGCACGGCCCCGGUUGCGGCCGAUAUCGAUUUUCGGAUCGCUCUUUGAUGAUGAUGAUGAAUCCCAAAACGGCCAAAACUGUUGGUUGUACACAGUAGCAGUCCUAUGGGAAGAGGGAGGGGCUUGGCCUCUAUAGUAUAUUAUAACUAAAACCUGAUAAUAUUUCUACGUUUUAUAUUAUUUUAUGUGAAAUAAUUGAAGUAACAAAGCGAGAAAAAAUCGAUGGUUUUAGUAUUUUUUGACAACACUACGUUUCACAUAUUCUGUGAUGGUGGUGGUUUUGAUAAUAUGGCGGGGACUGGGAGACGGCGUGCACCACCACCUAAAAUAUCGACCGAUUUGCAAAACAAAAAAACCGAAAAAGUAUUUUUUCUCAUACUAUUUUUAGCAUUGUAUUUUAUGUGGAAAAUAUCUCGCUCCUCCCCCUCCCCUCAUUUUUGUUUCAUUGUAGCAAAUACUGACGUAAUUAUUCGUUGGGCAAACUGGCGUUAGUUGGUAUAUUUUCCUAAAAUUUACAAAACUGAAAAGUUGUCUACUUAAUAUUUUAAUGGAUUAUGACAAAAAUGUAAAUUUUGAAUCCAAAAGAUUAAUUAAUUCGACCCUUAUUCGGUUUGUCUGUAACAAAACUUUGUGUAUUCUUUUUUUUGUACGUUUUGUAAUUUAUUCCGUUGUAAUAUACAUGAUGUUUCUCGCUUGAUAAAUGUUUUACGGUAAAUCGUUUUUUUUUCUGCAUUAUAUAAAUGUUUUAAACGUAUGCAAUAGACUCGCCGUCGGACUUAGUAUUUUUGGCGUUGCGUUCAAAAAAUAAAAACGCGACGGUUAGGACAACAAGACUUACUACACGAUAUCAUCGGACGUAUGGUUUACCGAUUUUUAGAUUUAGUGAUUCUAAAUAUACCACGUUUGGUUUUAUCGUAGACGCUGCCACUCAAUAUCUAUGUUUUGACAUUCCAACUAUUGCCCGUCGAUAAUAUAACAGGAGUUAAGAGUAUCUGCUUUAUAAUUUGUUGAAUGUAUGUAAAAAUCAUAAUAUCAAAAAUAUCUAUCAAAAUAAAGCAAAAUAAAUUUUAUUAUUCUCAUUCAAAAGCACACUGUACGGAUUGGUGACCAGACUAGCAUUACAUAGUAACCUUCGGAAAAAAAAUGCAAUCCUGUUACUUUUGUGAAGUGUUUCCCGAAGUUGAUAUUUUAUUUUACCCUGUACACUUGAAUUAUGGCACCUAUUUUUCCACUGUUUUUAUUAUUAUUAGAUUUAUCCACAACUAUUCCUGUAUGAAUUAUACUUGUGAUUUUAACUUUUUUGUGACGGAUUUUUGUUUCAGCUCCAAGAAGAAUACAGAAACAAAAUAUAUGUGACCCCUCGGUUGCGGAAAACGUUUUAUUGAUCUUGAGUUUUAUACGCGUCAACUAAAGCCUUUAAUUAUUGCAGUCUAAUCGUCUACUUAAUCGCCUACUUUAAAAUAUAAACAAUCAAACAAUAAUUCCUCUUUCUAUUAGCCUAUAAAAAUAUAUUAUUUGAAUGCCUAGUUUUUAUAUAUAAAUAAAUAUAUAUGUGUGCGAUUUUGUUGAAUAAGGGACUUAUUCACCAGCAUUGCACAAAGACAAAUCACUACUCAAAAACUAGGCAUUCAAAUUAAUAAUAAAUGUUUUGAUAAUAUAAAGAGGAAACUUUGUUCGAAAGUUUUUCAUUUUCCUGUAGGCUUUGAGACUGCACUUUGCUGGUAAAUUGCUAAAGGUUACUCCAACUGCAGAUAAUCCAAAUACGAUGUCUAGUAUUAAGGAAAAAUAUGGGCCCAUUUAUGUUUUCAAAUUUGCAGAGUAUGUGUUUUAAUUUCUCUAAUUAUACACAUAAUAUUCAUUGUUCUAAUCAAUUAUUAUUCGAUGUUUUUAGAUGUCUCGACAAACAACCUAUUACAGUUGAAGUAAAUGAGAUAAGAUCAUUCACUUUUCAAAUAAUUCAUUUACCAUACCCAUAACUAAAGGAGUGAACUGUUUACAUGAUGAAAAAUUUUAUUUACAUGAAUCGAAACAUCUAUUUAGUGUAUGAAAUGUCUCUUUAUAUUAAGUUUUUUGUCAAACUAUACUUUGAAUGUCAAUAAAAAUUAAGUAAUAUUAUGCUCC